UUUAAUCUUAGUGAAAUCAAUGCUCAUUUUCUCAGUCAGGAUGUUUAAUCUGGUAAACAGAAUGAAUGUCUUUUUGAGUUCUAUUUCUUUGACAGUAUUUUCAGAACAUGGUGCCCUGGACAUGUGAAUUUCAUUUCAGACUUCCCAGUCCAGUCCACUUAGUAUCUGAAUUUGCGCUACCUGCUUUAAAAAGAAUUAGAGUGUUCAAUUUUAUUUGUAAUGUAUCUCUUAAUUUGAUUUUCUUUUAAAGACUGCCAUUUUCAAGAAAAUUAAUGAUGAAAAGAUAACACCUGCAUCCUCAAAGCCAGCAUCAGGAUGAGUGCUAAUUAAUGCAAAACAUAAGAAACUGUCUGGAUGUGGUGGCACAUGCCUAUGAUCCCAGCACCUGGGAAGCCGAGGCAGGAAGAAUCUGAGAACAAGGUGAAUCUAGGCUACAGGUGAGAUCAAGUCUGCCCUGAACUAGUGGAGACCUGGUGAGAGCAUGUGAAAUCCUGUUUUAAACAACAAAAAAAUGAAAAAAGAAAGCAAACAAUAAAAUUACUGUAACUCCUUUU